GGGGCCAAGACCAGAAGGACACACCAAGAGAGCAUCUGUUUUGAGUUCCAUUUGUCUGAGCAUGCAAGACAAAGAAAGAAACUGGUCACCUGAAAAGUGCUUCUUUCAUCAACUCUUUGACCUUGGAGGAAGAAGAAGGUUGUUGCUCUCUUGAUGAUCGCCGCGCGAGAUAGGCAGGACGCGAGAACCUUCCAGAGACACGGAGCAGCGGUUCCUGAGCGAAAAGGGACUAACUUCAACGAGAAAGAAAAUUUGAAAAUGAAAAGCAACUUCUGGUGAAGCGGCUCAACCGUUUGCUUCGCCCCUGGAGAGAUUACCGCCACGCCCCCUGGCUGGGUGUUUUCCGGCAUUUGCUGAGACCAGCGGUGCUAAUGUGUAUCCUCUCAGGGGUCCCCACUUGGAAUCCCAGUGGACUGACCACCAUAGCAGGCAUAACGAGCACCAGCUUAAGGCUCCUGUGGGAUGCGAACCACUGACUGUUAUUGCUGAACACUGCCGUGGUGAAGGCUUAGAGCUGGCUUAUUGAAAGCUUAUGGCCGACCAACAACACUUUCUCCUGUUGGACAUGGCUGACUAACAACAUUUCCUCCUGUUGGACAUGGCUGACCAACAACACUUUCUCCUGUUGGACAUAGCUGACUAACAACACUUCCUCCGAUUGGAUAUGGCUGACCAACAACACUUUCUCCUGUUGGACAUGGCUGACUAACAACAUUUCCUCCUGUUGGACAUGGCUGACCAACCACACUUCCUCCAGUUUGACAUAGCUGACCAACAACACUUCCUCCGAUUGGAUGUGGCUGACCAACCACACUUCCUCCUGUUGGAUGUGGCUGUUAGAGACACGCUAGCCGUACCUCCGUAGACGCGCUUUGGUCGCGUGCUGUCGCAGUUUGAAAAAUGCUGCGCCUGGCCUCCGAUCUGCUUGGCAUGUCACAAAGGAUAAAAAGGUCCCUGCACAGUGUGACGGCUCCAGACGAGCCUCAUAAGUGCCUGAAGGGGAUUAGUGUGUAUCGUUUUUAAUUUCACUGCACGCUCUAUUCUAUAAACAUGUCAACACGAGAUCUAAGACAAAAAACUGCAAGAAUUAUGGUCUCUUGAAUUUUUUCAAGGAUUGUUAUUAUAUCAAAAUUUUUUCGUGGAUCACCUUACCUUACAUUAAAAUUUUUUUUUAAUUUUAACAUUUAGUAGGCGUGAUACUUUUUUCGAAAGGGGAAUCAGCAUUCAGUGUUUGAAAAGUGCAAAGUUAGAUUUUCUUCAGGUGCAUUUUCCUGCGUCAUCGGACUCUGUUUAUUCUUUCCUGAAUUAUUGAAGAGGCCUGCCGCGUUCCCCCACAGGCCAAAGUAUUUAUGAUAGAGAAAGGGUGAUACAUCACUGCGUCACACACUGCUCCUCAACCUCGGGCCCUCCUAGCGGAGCAGCAACGCUCGCGUUUAAAGAAGGCGUAGGGUUUGGCCCUGUCAGCGCAGCUCGCCCUCAGAGCUGUGCUCCACACGCUGGGCCCUGUGUUUGUGUAGCGUUCCCCUCCGGUGACCCCUCUGCGUAAACUCUCAGCCUCUGGAAGUAGUUAGCAGCUCAUCCCCUUCUGGUUAUUUUCUCAGAAGCUGACUCAGGCGAGGAGAGAGAGGGGGCGAGAGAGAGAGAGAUAGAGAGAGAGAGGGGGAGAGACAGAGAGAGAGAGAGAGGGAUGGAGAGAGAGGGGAGAGCAACAGAGAGAGAGAGAGAGAGAGAGAGAGAGAGCAUGUGUUGCUUUGGAAAUAUGACUGUAGUUAUCCUGCCAAUAAAACAAAUUGAGAUUGAUCAUUGAGAAAUUGAGAGAGAGAGAGAGAGAGUCAUAGCAUCAGUCCCUUCCUCCCUUUUAUACAUCUAUCCGUUUUAUUUGCUCAACACUUUACUCACGUCCUGCUGUACAAACAAAUAACAAAUGAGGACUGUGAAGUCGCAUUUGGCUCGCAAGGGCAUUUUCUGCUAAUUCAACAUCUCAGUAAUAAGCACACAUGCCCUCUGCCCCCACCCCCUUCAGCACACAGCUUUGUGUAUGAUGCUUUUUUUGGAGGGAAGCCGAACAGACAGAGGUGGGGAUGCACCCUGGAGACCAACGCUUAACGUGCGGGCUGUUCAAACUGCAGCGCGCCUUUUAAUAGCAAAUUUUCUAAUCUUUUGUUUUAGUGACAAACAGAAGGGAACACAUUUGUGAAUCUGGCCUAUUGCCCAGUGGUGAGGGUUUCUGUUGCUGUGUAUUAUAUGAUUUUUGUAUUGUAUUAUAUUAAUUCUAUGCAUAACUGAAUUAUGCAC